rnacentral:rRNA from 1 species
GUGCCAGCAGCCGCGGUAAUACGGAGGGGGCAAGCGUUACUCGGAAUUAUUGGGCGUAAAGGGCGCGUAGGCGGUUCCGUGCGUCGGAGGUGAAAUCCCCGGGCUUAACCCGGGAGCUGCCUCCGAUACGGCGGGACUUGAGUCCGGGAGAGGGGAGCAGAAUUCCCAGUGUAGCGGUGAAAUGCGUAGAUAUUGGGAGGAAUACCAGUGGCGAAGGCGGCUCCCUGGACCGGUACUGACGCUGAGGCGCGAAAGCGUGGGUAGCAAACAGGAUUAGAUACCCUGGUAGUCC